GCCUCCGCGGAGAAGGGGCCGCUCCCGCGGGCGCGCUCCGCCCCGCGCCGCCGCUGCGGAGCUCCGAACGAGGGCCCGCGGAGCCCCGCGCGGCCUUCCCGGCAACGGGCCCUGCCCGCCUCGGCUGGCCUUCCCUUGGCUGCGUGGGUUUUAUUUUGGUUUUUUAAUAGUUUACAGGUCAUUUUAUUUCUUGCCAUAUUCUGGUUAUUUACGUCAAUAUAAUAUUCUUUACCUUUACGGCAGAGCUUAUACUUUUCAGGGGCCACUCUCAAAAACACUUUGAUCCCCCUCCAGCACCUCCAUUGAAAGGGAUCUGGUGAGCGGAUUUGGGCGUCGCAGUGCUGCAUCCUAAGAGACCGAAGGUUUUAGUUUGCUCUUACCGAGCAGUGAGUUUGAAGUGCUGCAACUGCAUCGUGUGGCUUGAAACACCUUUUGCAGUAGAGUGGUCCACUGCCAUACGUGCUGCAAAAUGCUGUACAACUACUUUUGCACAUGAUUAAAAGACGAAGGAAGUAAACUGCUAAAAAUUUAAAAUGAGGGAUUUUCAAAAUAGUUUCAUUCUCUGUAGUGUGACGUGUUUUGCAAAGGAAUUUAAGCCUAUUAAUAUAAGUACAGUAAAUAAGAUUAUUGUACGUUUGAAUGUCAUUCCUACCUACAUCAUAGACAUUUCCUGUAAUUAGAAAGCUAAAACUACACACUGAACAAAAAGGCAAUAGCAGUCAUGCUCAGUUAAAACUUGCCGAAUGCCGACAUUUUUAUUGGUCAAUGUUGUAAUAGCACGCCUAGAAAGUGUUAUUUUUAUUGGCACAGGUUUUAUUCAGAACACAAGAACAGUAGUUCUUUUGUCUCUGUUUCUGAUCUCUAGGGCAGCUUAGCCUUUCUGUCUUACCAUAUUACAUUUCUGUUAACUGCAACUUGUUCCAGCUCAGCCGAGACUUACAUACGCAUCCUUUGCCUGUGCUUGUCCUUCAGAGGUCAGGAAGACUUAUGAUAUGCUUAAAGUUAAGGACACAAGGUAGUAGAAGGACUGAGUCUACAUUCUUCCAAUUUAGAAACUUGGUCUUCUUUAACUUUUCACCAGUGCAGAAGCAGCAGAAUUAGGGCAGUGUUCUGAGACCUGUAUCUGUUAAGUGACCUUGCUCCUGUUGCAUGAUGCUAGAACGGUUGCCUUUGCUUUUUUCAUGAAGAAAAGUUUCAGAUAAAGAAAUAUUAUUUUCUUCUGAAGACCAAAAUUGUUGAAAUCAAAUAAAUAUUUCAUUCUUUUCACAUGGAAUGCAGUUUCUGGUUCAGGUGUCUGGCAAGAUAUAUAGUUAUUUGUGGACAAUAUGAAGUUAUAGAAAUACAGAUAAAUUUAGAACAAAAUCAAAAUUUUAAAUAUUGUACUUAAAUAUGAAUAAUGGAUUUAAAGUACUAUUAAGCAGGCAUACAAAACUUAAAUGCUGGAAAUAUCUUUCAGAUACAUAGUUAUUUCUAAAAGGAAAAAUAUAAAUACUUCUAUGCCAUGUUGCAUGAAUUGCCCAAUUUCGUAUAUCGUUUUUUUUUUUUACUCAAAGAAGUACAUUGAAUAAUGUAUUACAGCUUCAACCAGGAAUCAGGAUCUUUUUUUAUUCUGAUACAAUAUUUAAAAGUUUGCUAGUGAUUUUUGUUCCUUGUUAUGCGAUUUCUUCCCACCAGAACAAAUCUGAAAAAUAAUGCUGACUAGAUAAUUUCUCCUUCAUUGAUUAUAUACUUCUUACAGUAUAUGUAUAUUCAUUGACUGAUUAAUACUUUUUUUCAGUUCCUGUGCUGAUGGGCAUUCAAAUUAUUUUCUACAAUCUCUUUGUCAGAGAGUACUCCAUUGAAAUACAACACACCCACUGUCAUGAUACAGCUUGACCUGGUUGCUACAUACUUCACCUAACUGAAUGGGAGUCCUCUGUGAAAUGUCAUCUACAGCAACAGCUCCAGGGUUGCUCCUGCUCGAGUGCUGUGGACAAAUCUGAGCACUUUUGGCUGCAGAAAGGUCAGCUUAUUAGCCAGCUUUUAGGAUUAGAGGUUCUCGUCUGCGAAAAGCAGUAUCUAGGAACACCCACAGGAUAAGGGCUGGCUAAGCAAUGCUACUUUGAAGACAGAAUGGAGUGACUCUUCCAGUGGUUUUUGACACCACAGUGCAGAGAAGCAGACAAGUAAUUCACCUUGCUGUAUGUUCUUCCUAAACAAAGUAUUAAUUGUCUAAGGUUUUCCCCCUUGCUGUCUUGCCUAGUCUGAACUAUCAUUGGGCUAGGUUUUUCACUGGCAGGAAGCACAAGUGGUUUAUUAGUAGACUAGUACUGGUCAAGAAACAUUAAGUUUUUCUUGGAAACUGUUUCUGACUUACUGUCUACUGAUAAGAGAAUUUUAUUUUAGGAACCUGAAAACAAAACAUCUAUAGCUAGUGUUCACUAGGGAUGAAACUUUAGAGGAGACUGUCACAGCAACCCCUCAUAUGUUGUUAUUGUCACAGAUACAUCUCACUUUAUUCAAAUUAAAGCUAUAAUGAAAUGCUGUGAAUUUUCCACCUGAUUCCCUAUUAAGCAGUAUUACUGUCACUUCUGAUAUACCAGCAAAUGAUCAUAGAUCCCUCCACCACUCCUGAAAUUGCAAGAAUUCCCUUUGAUACUGCUGUGGCAGUCUUGAGGGGAAAAAUCUCUUUGGAAAUUCCAAUUAGUAGCUGACAUUCAUUAGUAGAAAAAUCUGCUAUGAUUCCUAUGCAUUUGAUAAUCCUGUUUCAUGGCAAUAUGUGCAUCACUGGACUGAUACCUCUGUCAGUCAGCUGAGGGUGACUCCUGCACCUUGGAACAUACCAGGUCAGACUCAGAUUUAUUCUAGUCUAAGCAAUGAUAACAGAAAAUCUACUAUUUCAGCUGCAGUGCUACACUCUAUAGUAUCCAGUGAGAACCCACCACAUUCCAGCUGUGUGAUGCUUUUGCACAGUUUUGAUCAAUUCUGGUUUGUUGCAGUCAACAGAAAGUUGUCUGCAAAUAAUUUUUGCAUAGCAUUUAAAUAGUACAUUCCAUGAUGUACUCAUAUGUGUAUAUAUGCAAUUGAGGUUAGACAGAGACAGGAUCUUUUGUCACACAAACCCAUUAAACUUCUUGCGUAAACAGUGGAAACAUACAAAGUAAACAUGCAUGCAGGCCACAUGCUUCAUCACAAAGACAAUUAACUGGAAAAAAAGUAUUGGUUCUUGUAGAGAAAUGGCAUAAAAAAAACAAUCAGAAAGGAGACAAGGGACACAGGAAGGAGGAGUGCUGAAAGUGGGGCUCUGGUUUAUGGCUUAACAUAUGUUUGGCUCUUUUUGCUUGGCUAAACAUGAGAGCUUGCAUGCCAAGCAAUGCCUAAAAAGGAUAAGUGGAAUUAAAACCAAAACUGCUCUGUGGUCUUGCUUAUUUCUUCAGGAAAAAAGAGAAUUAUGCAAGUUCCUUGUAAGACUGCAUCACAAACACCUGAUAUCUAAAGGCCAAAAUCCUUUUGUAACUGAAAGAAGGUAGUAUCUGCAAAAUUAAAAUUAUAAAAUUUUAAAUGAGUAGUAUCAUUCAUGUGAUCCAACUCAUUGUUUUAUUGGAAUCUUUUUGGCUUCUGCAAUACAAAGACCUGUUGAAAAUGGUACUUUUCCACAUGUGGCUACAAGACUUGAUCAAGAAAUGUCAAAUCACAAUUAUGGCAGUUCCCAAUGGCUCGGUUGUGAGUUACUGCAACAAGACAUUCUAAGAAAUCUAGGACUAAGCUGCACUAAGCUUUAAUUUUUAGCUUUUAACAGCUUUCCUUGGUGCUCUUGCAAUUUGAGUAUGUUUCUUAAAAGUUUUUGAGCAAAGUAGGUUUUCAACAGAUUAUCUUCUUAACAUUAAAAAAAUGUUGGUACAUUGCUAUAUAUGACAGAAAACAAAAAAGUAGCCACAAAUACCUUUUGUAGCAACUAACUUCCUUCAGCAAUAUAUUUGGCCAUUUUGAUAGCAAACGUGACUUGACUUGCGUUUAAAUGGUUUAAGUUUCCUAAGAAUCUAUGAUUUUCCAGAAGCUGCCUUGGGAAACAAACCAAACCAAACCCACCAGUAAACUUGGAAGUGUAAAGCAACAUGAUAAAAAAUACUAAUGAGAUAAAGAUGAGUAACUGCCAAAUCUAAGAUAAGUCUCUUUUAACACAACCAGCAACUACAGAUUUAACUUCAAUGAAGAGGUGGAACACAGGACUUCUGGUUCUCCAGGGAAAUGGAAGGCAUCUCAACCAUAUUCUCACAGUUCACACAUUUCAGCAUUUGGCACAAAACAGGCAUUUACACAUAAAAAAAUCUCCCUGUUCCUACUUAUUUACUCAUUGUGCUACUCACAACAGAGGAAGACCUGCAAUGUCAAGUCACAGACCUUGAUGCAACCAACCUAAACAUUUAUUAUUCCUUUCCUUGAGGCAGCAUACAACAACUUUUUUCUGAUACAAGUCCUUUAAGUUCCUUUGCUAUUGGAUAAAAUAACAAAGACAAAUAUUAAGUGAAGAAAAUUAGCUUUAUUUAUGUAAAUUAGAAAAAAGAAUUGUUAGAACUUUGGUCAAAUUGUUAAUUCUGUACAAUUUACAAUUAUAUUUACAUACAAAACUUCUAAUAAAAUACAGUACAUCACA